GACGAACCGUGCGAACGUUGUUCGGAAUCACUGGGCUUAAAGGGCGCGUAGGCGGGGAGGCAAGUCAGGGGUGAAAGCCCACGGCUCAACCGUGGAAGUGCCUUUGAUACUGCCUCUCUCGAGGGAGGUAGGGGCGUGCGGAACUUCCGGUGGAGCGGUGAAUGCGUAGAUAUCGGAAGGAACACCGGUGGCGAAAGCGGCGCGCUGGACCUCUUCUGACGCUGAGGCGCGAAAGCCAGGGGAGCAAAGCGGG
rnacentral:rRNA from 1 species